AUUGAACGCUGGCGGCAUGCUUUACACAUGCAAGUCGAACGGCAGCGCGGGCUUCGGCCUGGCGGCGCGUGGCGAACGGGUGAGUAAUACAUCGGAACGUGCCCAGUAGUGGGGGAUAGCUCGGCGAAAGCCGGAUUAAUACCGCAUACGACCUGAUGUUGAAAGCGGGGGAUCUUCGGACCUCGCGCUAUUGGAGCGGCCGAUGGCAGAUUAGCUAGUUGGUGGGGUAAAGGCCUACCAAGGCGGCGAUCUGUAGCUGGUCUGAGAGGACGACCAGCCACACUGGGACUGAGACACGGCCCAGACUCCUACGGGAGGCAGCAGUGGGGAAUUUUGGACAAUGGGCGAAAGCCUGAUCCAGCAAUGCCGCGUGUGUGAUGAAGGCCUUCGGGUUGUAAAGCACUUUUGGCGGGAACGAAAAGGACUGUGCCAAUACCACGGUUCGAUGACGGUACCCGCAGAAUAAGCACCGGCUAACUACGUG
rnacentral:rRNA from 1 species